CGUCGUUGAAACAUCGGUUCCCAUACGAUCACCGAAGUUAAGCAACAUCGAGCCUGGUCAGUACCUAGAUGGGUAACCGCCUGGUAGUACCAGGUGUUGUAAG